CCCCCUGGAAGAUGACUCUGCACAGCUGUGACCCACUGACAUCUGACUACACACAGAAGCCAGGGUCCCAGCCAUACCCGCAGCCUCCCUCUGUGUCUGCCUAGGCUACCGUCUGGGGGCUCCUGGGAGCAGGGGCCAGGGUGGCUGCCUGUCCCUCUGCAGCACCAGCCCCAUGCUCAGGAAGGCAAAGCAGGGUCACAACAUCCACAGGAGGUCUGCCUGCAAGAAGCGGCCUCCUGUGGCUCCGAUCCCCCCCUCCCCCGCCAGGAGCUGCAUCUCACCGGUCACCUCUGGGAUGAGCCUCUCCUGCUCUGCCUCAGCCCCCCGGCCUCUCCUCCUGUGAGUUUCGGGCUCCCGACGACAGUAUGGCGUGAACCUAACUCGUAUAUUCAUGGGGAAGCCAGAGGAAUCCCGUGACCCUCUUCGCAGCGAUGCUUGCCUUGCUGGGCUGGCCCUGAGAGCAGCCUGUGGCCCUGAGGUACAAAUGCUGCAGUCGUGCUCACCGGGAUGUUCCCUCUUUGCAGAAGCCCCUCCGGGACUGACUCCUGUGUGACGAUGGGGAAGGGACCCAUGUCCAUUGUCCCUGUGUUCACUGAACACCGUCUGUCUGCCUGGGUGACUGCAGACUCUGCCCCUUCCAUCCGGUGCCUGGAGGCCAUGGGGGGGUGGUGCGGGCCAAGGGGGUGUGUGCUCUCUCCGGGGUAAUUAGAGCAGAAGUUAGAUACCCCCUCCUCCUGCCCUGGGGCCUGAGGGCAAAGCAGCAGGCGCCACGCCCCUUCAAUGCUAAACAAAACUGGUGUCUCUAUUGCUGAGGUGCACACAUGCUUUCACUUAAAAAAAAUUCAGGAUACAACAGACGAGGCCAAAUCUCCUUUCUGACCACUGUACCCGCUCCUGAGCCAUCGCUGGCACGCUGCGCCUAGCACGAGAGCCUGUCCCCAUUCCCACUGCGAGGAGAGCCAGAGCUGUGGGUUCGCAUGAUGUCACCGUUCUGCUGCCGCGCUUGGCUGGUCACCAGCAGGGGCCCCAGACCCGCUCCAUGCGGUC